AUCUCGGCUGUACUAACCUUCAGUGAUCUGUAUUCAGUGAUCAAUUUCGAGAUGAAUCAAGUUCGGGCAGAGAGUUGAGUUUGAAGUUUUUUGAAGUUUGAAAGGUUAGAAGGUUUAAAUUCGAUUGUAUGUCAUUAGUUACUUGCUUAAUUCAAGAUUAAUUCUCUUUCUCGGCUAUACUAACCUUCAACGAUGUGUAUUCAGUGAUCAAUUUCGAGAUGAAUCAAGUUCGGGCAGAGAGUUGAGUUUGAAGUUUUUUGAAGUUUGAAAGGUUAGAAGGUUUAAAUUCGAUUGCAUGUCUUAGUUACUUGUUUAAUUCAUGCUUAAUUCUCUAUCUCGGCUAUACUAACCUUCAACGAUGUGUAUUCAGUGAUCAAUUUCGAGAUGAAUCAAGUUCGGGCAGAGAGUUGAGUUUGAAGUUUUUUGAAGUUUGAAAGGUUAGAAGGUUUAAAUUCGAUUGCAUGUCAUUAGUUACUUGCUUAAUUCAAGCUUAAUCUCUUUCUCGGCUAUACGUGAUCAAUUUCAAGAUGAAUGAAUUUGGAGCAAUGAUGUGUAUUGAAUUACUUGCUUAAUUCACAAUAGAUACAUGUUCAAUUCACUUGUUAGUAUUUGUGUAAUACAACUUUAUUUCACUUUUCUGAUUCAAUUUUAAUAUAAUGUAACACACUUUUAAUACAAGUUAAAUUCAUUUUUGAGUGAGCUAGAUCUUUUGUGGAGAGGUUGUGGUAGUGUUUGAUAAGAUAUGUUGAAUUUAUGAAUGAGGAGGUUUUGGAGAAGAGUUUUGAAGUUUAUAGGUGUGUGAGGUCAAGUACUCUGCUGUUGGUGGUUGAUUUGUUAUGAUUGGAUUAUUUGUUUAAAUUCUUUCUUAAUUCACUCUUAUGAUUGAUUUACUUGCUUAAUUCAUAAUAGAUUCAAGUUUAAUUCAAUCUAUAGAACACUCUCUCAUUGUUUUCUUAGUAAUUUUGUUUUAAAUUUUUCUUAAUUCACUCUUCUAAUUCAACUUUUAAUACAAUGUAAUACACUUUUAAUACAAGUUUAAUUCAUUUCGCAGUUUGUUGGUUGAUUUGUUAUGAUUAGAUUACUUGUUUAAAUUCUUUCUUAGUUCACUCUUUUGAUUGAUUUACUUGCUUAAUUCAUAAUAGAUUCAAGUUUAAUUCAAUCUAUAGAACACUCUCUCAUUGUUUUCUUAGUAAUUUUGUUUUAAAUUUUUCUUAAUUCACUCUUCUAAUUCAACUUUUAAUACAAUGUAAUACACUUUUAAUACAAGUUUAAUUCAUUUCGCAGUUUGUUGGUUGAUUUGUUAUGAUUAGAUUACUUGUUUAAAUUCUUUCUUAGUUCACUCUUUUGAUUGAUUUACUUGCUUAAUUCAUAAUAGAUUCAAGUUUAAUUCAAUCUAUAGAACACUCUCUCGUUGUUUCCUUAGUUAUUUGUUUAAAUUCUUUCUGAAUUGACUUUUCUAAUUCAACUUUAAUACAAUGUAAUACAAGUUUAAUUCAUUUUCACAGUUUGUUGGUUGAUUUGUUAUGAUUGAAUUACUUGUUCAAAUUCUUUCUUAAUUCACUUUUCUGAUUGAUUUACUUGCUUAAUUCAUAAUAGAUUCAAGUUUGAUUCAAUCUAUUGAACACUCUCUCGUUGUUUCCUUAGCUAUUUGUUUAAAAUUUUUCUUAAAUCACUCUUCUAAUUCAACUUUAAUACACUGUACUACACUUUUAAUACAAGUUUAAUUCAUUUUUGCAGUUUGUUGGUUGAUUUAUUAUGAUUAAAUUACUUGUUUAAAUUCUUUCUUAAUUUACUCUUCUGAUUGAUUUACUUGCUUAAUUCAUAAUAUAUUCAAGUUUAAUUCAAUCUAUAGAACACUUUCUCGUCGUUUUCUUAAUUACUUGUUUAAAUUCUUUCUUAAUUCACUCUUCUAAGUCAACUUUAAUACAGUGUAAUACACUUUUAAUACAAGUUUAAUUUAUUUUUUGCAGUUUGUUAGUUGAUUUGAUUACUUGUUUAAAUUCUUUCUUAAUUCACUCUUCUGAUUGAUUUACUUGCUUAAUUCAUAAUAGAUUCAAGUUUAAUUCAAUCUAUAGAACACUCUCUCAUCAUUUCCUUAGUUAUUUGUUUAAAAUUUUUCUUAAUUCACUCUUCUAAUUCAACUUUAAUACAGUGUAAUACACUUUUAAUACUAAGUUUAAUUCAUUUUUGCAGUUUGUUGGUUGAUUUGAUUAAUUAUUUAAAUUCUUUCUUAAUUCACUCUUCUGAUUGAUUUACUUGCAUAAUUCAUAAUAGAUUCAAGUUUAAUUCAAUCUAUAGAACACUCUCUCAUCAUUUCCUUAGUUAUUUGUUUAAAAUUUUUCUUAAUUCACUCUUCUAAUUCAACUUUAAUACAGUGUAAUACACUUUUAAUACUAAGUUUAAUUCAUUUUUGCAGUUUGUUGGUUGAUUUGAUUAAUUAUUUAAAUUCUUUCUUAAUUCACUCUUCUGAUUGAUUUACUUGCAUAAUUCAUAAUAGAUUCAAGUUUAAUUCAAUCUAUAGAACACUUUCUCGUCGUUUCCUUAGUUACUUGUUUAAAUUCUUUCUUAAUCCUCUUUUUAUUAAUUCAACUUUAGUAUUUUUGUAUUACCACUUUAAAUAGAAGUUUAAGCCAUUUUGAAGUUUGUUGGUUGAUUUGUUACUAUUGAAUUACUUGCUUAAUUCAUAAUAGAUUCAAGUAUAAUUCAAUUUAUAGAACACUCUCUCGUCGUUUCCUUAGAUACUUGUUUAAAUUUUUUCUUAAUUCAUUCUUCUAAUUCAAUUUUAAUAUAGUGUAAUACACUUUUUAAUACAAGUUUGGUUAGACGCAUGUUUGUAGACCACAUGGUGACCGUGAGGGGAUUGGAUUUGUUAAUUUUGAAGUAUGGUUUCGUCCUUCCCUUGUGCACACUAUUCCUUUGCCAUUUUGGUGCUUGUGCUUGCACUGCAAUUUGGAUAUCACCAUGCACUGGCAGGGGAGUUGUUGAGUCUGGCAUCUCUAGUCAUUUGUUCUAUGUGGUAUGGGUUUGGCUUCUAGCACUUUAACUGUUAACUUCUUUUUGUGCUUGUUGUUGUUGGGUCUUUCAAGAUCAGUGAAGUUUCCCUUUCAUGGAGUAGCCUUGUUUGUCAUAAUGUUGAAGUUUCUUUGUUCAGGCUUUGUAUUAGUAUCUAGCUCUUCGAUUCAGUUUUCUUCCUUGGACAGAAAGAGUCCCUUACUUUGUUGUCAAAAGUGUUGUUACAUGAAUGUUUUCAACUACGAUAACUUUUUUUACAAGUGCAUUUUUUGCUUUUAGUCCAGAUGCUUAUGUUUUGCAAUGAUCCAACUGGUGAGGACUCUUAUGGGUGUGGAUAUCUGGUAUGUACUCCCUCAGUUCUGGAUCUUUUCACACCCCAUUAAAAAUGCUCAUCUAUCUUUUGUGUUCUUGUUGCUCAUCUUUGUGGCUUCCAUUUUCUUUUUGUUUAUCACACCAGUUUGAGUUUUGUGUGUUGGAAGAAUGUAUUUAUCGUGAACUGUAUUGAAGGAUUAGAGUUGUAAAUUUUUAAGGUUAGAGUUCAGUAUGCUGGUUGUGUGGGUGCUUCCACUGCAAUCUUGAUAUCGUUUUAGGCCUUCGAGAAAAAGGGGGUUUCGAAUGGUGCAGGGAGUAUACUGCCAAUUGCAGUAAAAAUAUAUUAAACAAAUUGUACAUGGUGCAGGAAGUAUACUGCCACUUGCUUAUGCCAUUGUCGAUUCAGCGAAUGAUGCAUCUUG
rnacentral:lncRNA from 1 species